rnacentral:tRNA from 2 species
GAAUCCAAGGCGCAAGGGGUGCGCGUCUGACUUGGAAUAGGAAAGUUGCGAGUUCGAUUCUCGCCGGGUUCA